rnacentral:rRNA from 1 species
GACGAACGCUGGCGGCGUGCUUAACACAUGCAAGUCGAGCGGAAAGGCCUCCUCGGGGGUACUCGAGCGGCGAACGGGUGAGUAACACGUGAGUAAUCUGCCUCUGGCUUCGGGAUAGCCACCGGAAACGGUGAUUAAUACCGGAUACGACACAUCACUGCAUGGUGCGUGUGUGGAAAGUUUUUUCGGCCAGGGAUGUGCUCGCGGCCUAUCAGCUUGUUGGUGGGGUAAUGGCCUACCAAGGCUUCGACGGGUAGCCGGCCUGAGAGGGUGACCGGCCACACUGGGACUGAGACACGGCCCAGACUCCUACGGGAGGCAGCAGUGGGGAAUAUUGGACAAUGGGCGGAAGCCUGAUCCAGCAACGCCGCGUGAGGGAUGACGGCCUUCGAGUUGUAAACCUCUUUCAGCACAGACGAAGUGCAAGUGACGGUAUGUGCAGAAGAAGGACCGGCCAACUACGUGCCAGCAGCCGCGGUAACAC